ACCUUUCAAAUCAGGGUGCGGCGCGGCCCCCGAGGAGCGGAAACAAUCCUUGGGAGGUAUGCGGGGGCUUCGAGCCCCCCAUUUACGCACGCACGACUGCCAUCCUUACUUUACGAGCACCUUCUGUUCUCCCUCGGCGGGGCAACCUGCCGUUGGAACCGAAUAAACUCUUUUUGCAUCUAGCAUUACCUGUUCCGAAACAAACAAUCCGUUA
rnacentral:misc_RNA from 1 species